rnacentral:lncRNA from 1 species
GCCCGGGCUGCGCGGGGAACCUGGAGGGCAGGAGCAGGCGGGAGUUGUUGCUUCGGGGCGCAGGGUCCAGACCUUGCCGAGACCGGCGUUGGGAGCUAGCAGAACCGGGAAGAGGCUCGAUUGUGUCCGGUGGGGCCGCCGGGAGCCUCGGCGACCUUUGUCUCCUGCCUGGCUCCUGCACUGGAGUGUGACCCGGGGCGCUGCAGCUGCUUGUGUGUGUGUGUGUGUGUGUGUGUGUGUGUGUGUGCGCGCGCGCGCGCGCGCGCGCGUGUGUGUAAGAGGGAGGAGAAGAGGAGACAGAAACGGUGGGAGGGGUGGAUUCCGCGUGCCCGUGUGCUUAUGUGUGAAGGAAAGUCCUGACUAUAUUUGGGAUUUGUUGCUCUGUGUGUAUAUGUGCGUGUGUGUGUUUGCUAUAUUUGGGGUUCGUUGCUGUGUGUGUGUCCGCUGUAUUUGAGGUUUGUUGCUGUGUGUGUGUGUCCGGUAUAUUUGGGGUUUGUUGCCGUGUGUGUGUGUGUGUGUGUGUGUGUGUGUGUGUGUGUGUAAGAGAGGAAGAGAGAUGAGGAGACAGAAAGUGGGGGAGGGGUGGAUUCCGCGUGCCCGUGUGUUUAUAUGUGAAGGAAAGCCCUGACUGAUUUAUUUGGGAUUCGUUGCCGUCCAGGGACUUCAGGACAACCUGUGUCCGCUAUAUUUGAGCAUUCCAAAUUCUUCAGUGUGGAGGACUCAGGGAGGUCGAAAAGCUCCUUGAGUGCAGCAGUUGGGAGCAUGGUGAAGGGGGGAGGGUCUGGCCGUGUCUGCAAGGUGACCAGACCUGAAGGUCCAGAGCCCCCCUCCAUCAUGGGGUACUUAAACUAUCAGCUGCCCUGGCCUGGUGUCCGAUUCCUGACUAUUCCUCAAGUGUCUUCCUAAGAAUCAUAGCCUGAUGCCUGCAGAGACAUUGAAGAUCCAGGGACACACAAAAAUGAAACCCAGUUAUCCUGGCACUCCACUUGCCAGCAAUGUGAUUAUGUUCUCUUCUCUCUGAGCUCCCGUUUUUGCCUCUGUAAAAUGGUGUUCAUAAUUCUUACCCACCUCACUGUACUGUUGUAAAGAUUUAAGGAGUUAAUAUACCUCGUGGGCCUUUUGUAACUUAACAAACCGCUAGAAAGCCUUUAAGCAUUGCUCCAUUUACAAAAAGUUCAAAAAAUAAGCAAAAUUAGACCUGUGCUGUCAGAAGUUAGGUUUGUGUUAUCUUUGGGGAGGGAAUGACUGGAAAGGGGCACCAGGGAAGCUUCUGGGUGCUAGUAAGGGUUAGGUACGGAGGAGGGAGUAGUUCAGUUGUGAAAAAUUGAGCAGUCUCCUUAGGAUCUAUGUGCUUUUCUGUCUCUGUUACUCUCUAACAAGAAGUUUCCAAAAGAAAAAAGGGCCAGGUGCAGUGGCUCAUACCUGUAAUCCCAGCACUUUGAGAGGCCAAGGCAGGCGGAUCACCUGAGGUCAGGAGUUCAAGACCAGUGUGGCCAACAUGACAAAACUCGUCUCUACUAAAAAUACAAAUAAAUUACCCGGGCAUGGUCGUGGGCACCUGUAAUUCCAGCUACUCAGGAGGCUGAGACAGGAGAAUCGCUUGGACCGAGGAGGCGGAGGUUGCAGUGAGCUGAAUCACGCCGCUGCCCUCCAGCCUAGGUGACAGAGAGACUCCAUUUCAAAAAAAAAAAAAAAAAAAAAAAGGCAGGGCUCAGUGGUGGAUCACUUGAGAUCAGGAGUUUGAGACCAGCCUGGCCAACAUGGCAAAACUCCAUCUCUACUAAAAUACAAAAAUUAGCUGGGCAGGGUGGCGGGUGCCUAUAAUCCCAGCUACUCCGGAGGCUGAGGCAGG